AACCCAGUGCCUCUUGCAUGCUAGGCAAGUGCUCUACCAGCUCCGGUUUUUAUAAGCCUCCACAUAGACUUUGUUCUUUAAAUUUGCUUUUGUGUGUAUAUUUUCUCAUUACAAACUUUUUACUGAAGUAUAACUUACAUAAAGAAAGUACAUAAAUCCUAAGUGUACAGUUUGAGGAAUUUUUACACACUAAACACACAUGACAGUCAACUCACAAAUAAAGAAAGGGGACAUUACCUGCACCCCAGGACAUUGUUCCUUCCAUUCACUACUUUCUUAAGAAUCAUUCUGUAGUGACUUUGAACACCACAGGUGAGUUUGCCUGAUUUAAAACUUUAUUCUGAUGAAAUGCUUGAUUAUAUCCUGUUUUAUGUCUGUCUUCUUUUGUUCAACAUUUUGUCUGUGAGAUUAGUCCAUGUUAUGUGUAGCAAUUGUAAUUUUCAUUGCUGUGUAAUAUUCUACUAUAUAAGUAUAACCCAACUUAUUUAUCCAUUUUACUGUAAAGGUAUCUUGUUGUGGGGCUCUUAGGAAUAGAGUUGCUGUGGCCACUCUUGUAUACCUCUAAUGAUGAACAUAUACUUAGUUUCAUGCAUUGUAUACUUAAGAGGAAUUACAAAUAAAUGCUGCCAGUUACCAGUGAAUACUGUCAAAUAUAUUCCCAAGUGGUUGUAAUGAUUUAUAUCUCCACCAGCUGAUAGGAGACUUCCUUUUGUUUCAUGUCGUUGACAAUACUUGAUAUCAUUUUUUUUCUUCAUUUUAGUUUUUGCUAGAUGAUAGCAUCUGCUAGGUGACAAUAGUGUCAAAUUAUGUUUAUUUGUUUGUUUUUUGCAUUUCCCUGAUAACUAAUGAGGUUGAUAUGUUUAUUGGUCACUUGGAUAUUCUUUUUCAUAAUGUGAAUCUUUUUUGCCUCCUUUUUGCUAUUAAAUUGUCUUCCUUUUCCUGGUUGAGUUGUAGGAAUUCUUCAUGAAUUCUGGAUAUGAGUCUUUUGUGGAUUAUACAUAUUUUGAAUAUUGUUUCCAGUCUUUUGCUUGCCUCUUUACACUCUUCUUGGCAUAUUUAUGUAUUUGUGUAGAAUAAUGUUCUAUUAGUUUUUAAUAAUGUCCUAUUAAUGUUUUAUUUAUUUAUUCUUAGUACUGAGAUUGAACUCAGGGUUGCUUAACCACUGAGCCACAUCCCCUUUUUAUUUUUUUAUUUUGAGAUAGGGUCUCACUAAGUUGCUGAGGCUUGCCUUGAAAUUGUGAUCCUUUUGCCUCAGCUUCCCAAGCUGCUAUGAUUAUAGGCAUGCACCACCACAUCUGGCUAUUAAUUGUUUUAAAUUAAUUAACUGAAUAAUUUUACAGUAGAAUGCAUUUUGAUGUGUAGUACACAAAUGGAGCACAACUUCUCAUUCCUCUUGUUAUACAUGGUUCAGGGUCACUCCACUAGUGUAAUCAUACAUGUACAUAGGGAAAUAAUAUCUCUUUCUAUUGUUGGCUAUUAUUUUUAAUGUUAACCAAAUUUAUCAAUUUUUUCCUUUAAUAGUUAGUGCUCUUUGUGUUCUGUUUAAGAAAACUUUGUUUACCCUGUUGUUUUUGUAUUUGAUAGCUUUAUUGCUUUACUUUUUACAUUAGAUCAGUAAUCCAUUUUGAAGUGCUUUUUGUGUAGGGUGAGGGAAAAACUCUUUUUCUUUCUAUUUAGCCAUACAGGUGACUGUAUGUGUGGGUCUGUUUCCUGCAUUAAAAUUUGGAGAUGCCAUGGAGUAAUUUCAUAUUACUUUGAGUUUGAUUUACUAAAUAAGUAGCUAGUCUCUGGGGACAGACAGGGAGGACCAAGAUAGGCCAGAGCAUGAUCAGAGGUCUAGGAAGUUUCCAGAUAUGAAAUCCAUUGACCUAUAGACUUCUCCAAGUAAAAUGACUGUAAUAGAAUCACGAUAUGAACACAUAGUUAACAAACCAGGCAGUUAACUGUCCUCUCUGUUAGAAGAUGGAUAUAUCAUAAGAAGUGGAAUUUAAAGGAAUACAAUACCUACUUUCAAUUUAAUACAACUUCUCACAAGAGCCAAUUGAAUAUGGUUGUUACUUUGUCUAAUGCCAGUUCUCCUCACCGCAAGGUAAGCAUUCUCUGCAAACAGGCUUGGUUCAUGCCCAUUUCUUGGGGUUCAUCACAUCUGCCUGAUAGGAGUACUUAGGAAUUAGACACCCAGAGCAUUUAAUUUCUUGCUUAUCUUAAUUACUCUGUGGAGGGAUUUUUGUUGGUGUCCAGCUGCUUCUAGCAGCCUGAAAUCUUUUAGGUUUUGGAGAUUCUAAAGGAGGUAGGGCUGGGAGCGCCUAAGCUAAGGAGGGUUCCCUCAGAUGAAUGAGCACCCCUUUCCCAAGGGUCCCAUCCAGUUUAAAUCAUGGAGGGACCUCAACUCUCUGGCAAAGCCCCAAUCCAUCAAGAUAAUAUUCCUCUUCUCUAUACUCACGGUGGUAGAUGGAGCAUACUUCUCCCUCCUAGGAAACAUCGGGAUCUGGUCCAGGCACCAUUUGGAGAGUUGCCUUCUACCUCUGCUCCUCUCUCCUGGCCCUAACCUGAAAGUCUGAGCUGCCAUCACUGGGAAACAUCGUUCAUUAAGCAAACCUCAUUGGAGUAAUAGCCUCUUUCUAAGUUUCCAUUUGUUCAAAAAGUACACUUGAGUACCUUCUGUAUACCAGUACUCAAGAACUUCCUCAAGGGAAUUAGCUUACCUGUGUCAGUGUCAAAUGAUAGUCUCUAGUUAAACUUGGGGACUGACAGAAACCUUACCAACACUUGAUCAUCUGACCUCAACUCUUGCCCAUCCCUGUUCUCUGUUAUUUCAAGCAUCUCGCCUGCCUUGUCUGUGCAUCAUGCCCCACUUCAUAUAUCCAUGUGACUUGAGAUAGUCCAUGUCCUAUUAACCACGGGGAAGCCAACCCAGAUGGCAGAUUUUGCAUAGUAACAUACACAAACUGGGCACUGGUGGACGCUCUGGUUACCCUACCCAUGCUCUUCCACACCUUGAGAUCUUCUCUGUUGCUUCAGGGUCUGCUGUCAAGCUUGGGUCAGAGGGGUGCCCCUGUCAGUUCCGUCAGGAGGAAAUCUUUUUCAUAUAUUGGGGUCCUGGGUUCUCCCUCCUGCUUAAUGACAAAAAUAUAACAGAUACGAAGUUAGGGUUACCGUGUGAUGUACUAACAUUUGUCACAUUUCAUUUCAAUCAGGAAAGCGUCCUAGUUACUACAAGUCUUUGCCAGCCCAGAAGUUACAUUACUUUGAUCUUGUCCACUCAUUUGUGUGGGAAGUUAAAGAACCUAAAAUAUUUCUGCUACUACUGCUACUGCUAAGUAUAUGUUGAACAGCUAGAGAUUUUAGUUCAGGCUCUUUAGCUUCUAUUCUUUUAAAUACACAUUUUUUUUAAAAGACUACUGUUUUGUUUGUUUUCAUUUUUUAUUUAAUUUUUAAUUAAUUGAUGCACGUUUAAAAACCAUUGUGUAUAACAGAAUCACAGACUUUCAGAACACAGAGAUAUUAGAUAUCAUUAGUUCAAUCUUCUCAUGACUAAAUAAUAUUGUGAGAUCUCUCUCCCUGAAGAUAUUUUUAAACAUCUUUCACAAUCACGGGAAGUCAGAGCUGGAAGAGAACGAAGGACUGUGCUGGGCCAGCAGUAUUUUUCUAUGGACAGGAACCUGAGGCCCCGAGGAGAACUGUGACUGGAUCAUAUAGAUGGUGCUGGGGUCAGGUCCUGGGUGUCCAGACCCCCAGCCUGCCUAGACAAGGCUACCUCUUACCUCCAGUUCUGCUUCAUAGUUGUUACCCGGAGACAAUCAGGAGUUUCUCAUAGAAUCUGUGAAUGUGCUUGUCAUGAAACAUUAAUCAGUGCCAGAAUUUAGGGUAACAUGGAAAUAGUCAAAAUGUCCUUUGGGCUAGAGCCAUGAGUCCCAGUGGGAGUGGGCUGGGAUAAGUAGUUAUGUUAAUAAAACCUUUCCACAUUAGAAGUGUGAGUCAGAUUCGAUAUAUAAAUAUCAUUAAGAAGUUACACACAGAGGGAGUUUAAUUUUAGUCCAAAUAGAUCAUCUGUUUGCACCCCCUUCUGAAAUAGAGGCGGCAGAAGUUGUUAUGUCUUUCAAAUUACAUUGAUCACUACCGAGAGGAAAACAUCCUGGAGGAGGUCAUUUUCCUUGUGGACUGCUGUCCUGGAUACUGUCUGUCUCUACAAAGCUUGAGUUUCCAGAGCAACCGGGAAAGAGUGGAGAGUGUGCCUUUCUCCUCUUUGCUUUAACCCAUUCAGGAAAUCUCACAUCAGCUCUUCCCCCUGCACUGUGUAGCAGACCACGGGGGCUGUGGAUCUGGGCUGGUGACGGUGCACAAAGUCCUUCUAAGGAGGAGACAUGGAAUUCAGUCAUUCUUCAGUUUCUUGGGAGCUCCCUUUCUGCUCGGGCUCCCUUGUGAGGAGAUGUACCUGGUGGACUUCAGAAAUUGAUCUGCCCCCUUUAUGUGACCUCCACUCUGCUGCUGCUCCUUAAGGUCUUCUCAUGGAUGUUUGUAGAGAAGAUGAGUGUACAUUAUAGCCUCCAUUGGGCUUGUGUCUCAUGACUGGAAGAAGCCAGAUGGGAGCAUUAUAGGAGAGACAGCCCACCCCUCCCAGGAAGUGCCCCGUUUCACAGGGAGACAAUAGCCAGUUGUCUGGUAGACGCUAUAUAAAGCAGAGCUGAGCAGAGGGUCUCUUCAUUAUCUCUGGACUGCCAGCACCGGUCCUAAGCUACUAUAGCUGUGGAAAGAAGCUGGAUCUGAACCGAGAGCGUGAUUCUGUUCUCCCUGGACAGGCCUUGUUCCCAAGAGGCAUUCAUGGGUUGAUCUGCAAAGCAAUCCUGAGCUCCCUUCUGCCUGUUGGGGGAUUUUUAUGCAAAGGGGAUCUCCAUUCCUGGAAUUCUCUGAAAGCUCUCUCUGACAUGCCCUCUGCAACUCAUCAUGUUAAUGGGAAGGGAGGGCUUGGAGGCCAGCCAGUAUGCCCCCACCCCAGCCAUGUCAGGACGGCUGUAUUGAUUGCAGAGUCUGAGGAAGGUUAUGGCAAUGGAUGGGGAUUCACUUGGCUUUCACAAGGCAAGAUAGUGGAGAAAUAAAACUGGCCCUAGAGCCUGUCUUCUUAACUGGGCUCCCAGCCAAGGCUUCCCUGCCAACCCCCUUCCCCACUGCCUGUCAUGCACACACAACCAGAUCUAGCUUCCCUGAACACCACUUAGUCUAACUCACCAAGUGCUUAGAAACCUUUAAUGGGUUAUCUUUGCCUGGACUGAAGGCCCUACAAGAUCAGGUGUAUAUCUGCAAACAAUUGCCUAUACAACUUCAGCAAAUUCCACUAGUCAGAUGGGGCCUCCUCACAGAGCUCUGAAUAUCCCACACCUUUCCCCAGGUUUUCUCUUGUGUUGUUUCAACUUGUUUCUACCGGCUGAAAUCUGGACAAUCCUUGAAUACCUGGCUCAUGCCAUACUUCCCUGGCCACUGGCUUAUGUAACUCUUUUUUUCUUCUGAGCUUUCUACCACUUUUAAACUCAUUUAGCCACAUUUUGCCUUCUCCCUCCACUAGGUGUGCAAUAGCCCAUCUCUGUGAAGCCCCUUGAGGGCAGGGACCUCUGUAACCUCCAGCCCAGUGCUGAAUGUGAGAUGAGCAUACAGUACGGGGGUGGAGGGGGAGAGAUAGAUUCUUGAAACAAUGAAGUCUCUCUGGACAAUUUAGCAUUAUUUCCCUUUUGACCUGUGCUCAGGCACCCAUUUUAAAGUGAGAUCCAGAGGAGUUUAAUGGGGGGUGGAAGCAGGUGUCUAGAAAGGUCUCCAGAUGAAUGUGUUCAAAAGCAGAAUUGAGAUGGAUGAAGCAGGUGUUAGAGGCAAAAACAAACAAAAACCAUGGAAAACAAGGAAUUGAAUUUGACAUACCUUGGAGAUGGAAGGUGAGUGUACUGGGCUUAAUAAAUGUUCCUUGAAUGUUCAUGUCUACCUGGGACCUCAGAAUGGGACCUUGCUUGGGAAUAGGGCCUUUGCAGAUAAUAGUUAAUGAAAUAAACUCAUGCUAGAUGAGUGUGGCCCUGAAAUUCAGUGAUUAGCAUCUUUAUAAGAAGAGCAGAGAAUGCACAGAGAAGAAGACAGAAGCAUACCUGAGUGAUGUAGCUUCAAGCUAAGGAAGGCCAAAGAUUUCCAGGAAACACCAGAAGUCAGGAAAGGCAAAGAAAGAAUCUUUCUUGUAGUCUUCAGAGAAGGCAUGGCCUUGUGGGCACCUUGAUUUUGAACUUAUAUCCUGAAUUGUGGAAUAAUAAAUUUCUGUUGUUUUGAAUCACACAUUUUGUGGUAACUUGUAUGGCAGCCCUGGGAAACCAAUGCAGUGGGGUUCACUGUAUAUAUUAAAAAUUCCAGGGAAACAAAAUGCUUAGAUGACUGUGUAGACACUUAGAUGACUGUUUUCAGCACUAGGACCAGCACUGAGUUUCUAAUUGUGGUAAGAAAUUUAAACUUGUUAUUCAUGAUGGAAUUAUGACAAGACCUACAUAGGGGCAAAUCCACUCUUGAAAGCACCUCGUCCCUUAGGUGGAGGUGACCUAUCAGAUACUUGGGGCAUCAUGACCUUAAUGGAAAGCCAUGGGCAGAGCCUUCACUAUUAUGUGCAGGAAGAAGAAAUCAUACUAGAUGGGGUCUAUUGAGUGCUUACAUUUUUAUGCAGAAGAAAUCUGGUUAGAAUAAUCACCAGGUAUAGAGGAAGUACAUGCAAGAGGAGGGUAAUGGGGUGUACUAUGGUGGUUUGUGUGAAAAGGUGCACGGAAUGUGGGUAGGGUGGAAGUGGGAGAGGAGAAGGGGAAAUGGUAAAUGUCCUAAGCUGGUUUUUGCAGUGAGAGCUAUGUAAGAAAACUGCCUUCUUUUUCUGGGACACCAAGAAGCUCUGUCUUUCAGCUAGAAGUCCAUAAGAGCUGGGCAUGGUGGUGCAUGCCUGUAAUUUCAGCUACUUGGAAGUCUGAGGUAGGAGGAUCAUAUUUUGAGGCCAGCUUCAGCAAUUUAUCAAGGCCCUAGACAACUUAUUGAGACCCCCACCUCAAAAUAAAAAAAUACGGGCUGGGAAUGUGAUAAAGCACCCCUGAGUUCAAUUCUUAGAACAACAACAAUAACAACAACAAAAGCCCAUUACAUAGAGGGCAGGACAGGAGAUAGCUUGGCCUUUAUAGGCACUCCAAAAACUUUUUUCUCUUCACAGUGUCAGAGGUGCCCAGGCAUAGUGGAUGCACAGUGGGAACCAAGCUGGUUCUAUCCACGGUCACCUGUUCUGUGUGAGCAAGUCCAUCCUCUCUCUGGUUUUUGGUAUUAUUUCCCUUUUAUGGAGGCUUUCAGGGUUGAUGUGACUAUUGUGAAAAACAUUUUGUAAACCUCAAAAUGCUAUAUAAUAUUGUAUGUUGUAGUUCUCUCCAGGACUGAACAGGAAUCUAGAUGGAGUCCUACCCUUGGGGUUUGGGGAGGCUCACACAUUGUGAGACGUAAUGCAGGUUUCAGGGUGGGAGGAUAGAGGUAUUAUGCAGAUGGAUGGGGUGAUGAUUGCACAACAGAGUGAGUGCACUCAGUGCCACCAACUUAUAUACUUAAAAGUAGCUAAAAAGGCAAGUUUUAAUGUCUGUAUCUUCCCACAUUAAACAAACAAACAAACAACAACAAAACACUUCAAGCAUUCUUCCCCCAGCUCCUGCAGAAAAGUAAUACAAAUACUGGAUAAACUGUUAUUCAUGUAAAUUUGACACUCCAGGUGUUACAGAGCGGUUAUUAACACUUUGUGGUGAAUGCUCAUAUUUGCAGUUAUUGUGAGGAAUCAGCCCUGUUUACUGGGGCUCAACACAAUACAUUGUUGUUAUUGCUUUUGGAUGUCUCUAGAAAUUCCCUUGAGAGGGGGUAAAUUAGAUCAUAAUAAUUGAAAUAGAAAUGAACUAUCAACUAUACUCAAUAACAAAUGAUCUGAAAUGACUUUGCUAGUUCUACCUCUGUCCUCAAACUUAGUCUCCAUCCUCAGCACUACCCUUUCUUCUUUCUCUCUUCCCUUUCAUUCCCAAUUUGCUCUUUAUCCCAGUAGGUCAGGGUAGAAACAGAUUCUCAUGGCACAGAAAUAUAUGUCUCACAUCAUUAUCCUAGGUACAUGUGUGAUUACAUGAAUGGUGCAUCUCUACACCGUGUAAAACCAGAGAAUUGAAAUGUCGUGCUCCAUUUAUGUACAAUGAAUUGAAAUGUAUUCUGCUGUCGUGUACAAGUUGGAGGACAAAUUCCAGUCCUUCUAAGUAGGCCUUAAAAGUCUGGGUGGAGUGGGCACUCCUGGAGUCUGUGGAGAUUAUCAGACAAGAAGCUCAUGGCCUUGAGUGGUCAGGAGAGGCAGGAGUAAGAGCCAGUGUGAAGGUGUGGGAGUCAGAAGGAACUUGGAACUCAGCUCCUUGUGGCCUUUCAACUUGAGAUUCACAAAGAAAAAAAGCGAUAUCUCCUCACUGAAAGCAAAAUGGAACUUCCUUCAUGCAAAGGGAAGCCCUCCUGACUGUAGGUUAUUCGAGGGUGAAGAACAAACAUGAGUUCCACAUACCAUCUAAUGAUACAGGCAUAUCUAAAGGAGACAAGAAGACGGAAUGCAUCUUCCUGCGUGGGCAGUGCCUGCUGAGUGAAGGGAGGUUCGUGGCAAAGAUGACACCAGUAGCCGUGUGUAGCACUCACUCCUUGAGACUGUUGUUUCUGAAGCUGCAGUAUCCUCACAGGACCACAGAGGGAACAAAUGCAAACUACCCACAGUUCACUUAGCUGUACUCACUACACUUUCUUCAUUGAUCACAUGACACUGGAAGAUGAGAAUGAUUAAGGAGGAAAAGAAAAAAAAGAGCAUUCAAUUCUGCAGCAUGCUGAUAUGAGUGCCUAAAAAUGUACCUUGGUCAGAAAGUUUCACUGAGCUGGGGCUCAUACCCCAGGACUCGAAGAUACUCUUGGCAAACCUCUUGUGAGGAGGUUGAACAGAAAAUGGAAGCACCCAUGAAGGGCAGGUAGUUGCCGCAGGACUUGCCAACAGAUGGUUGGCCAUUCAUACAGUGUGAAGGAACCAUAGCUUUUGUGAUAAUGAUAUUUGAGCCAGCUUUUGUUUUGUUUUGUUUUUUGUUUGUUUCCAGAAGUAUUAAAAGUAGAAUGGAACCACCAUGUGUGGAGUAUAUAAAGUUUCACAGAUAGGAAGUGGGUAAAGUAUUUGUUUUGAAAAAUCAUCUUGCAGUAAUGUAAAAACAUCUCAAGAGAAAAAUGUCCUCAUCUAAUGCUGCGUUAGGGCAUGCAUUUCUAUAACCUAAAUCUGUUGGUGACACAAAAAUAUAUUUUUUGUUGAAAUUCUCCUCUUUUAUUUUUUGCAGUACUGAGGAUUAAGCAUGGUAGGCAAGCACUCUACCUCUGAGCUAUAUCCCCAGUCCUUUCUAAAUUUUAUUUUGAGGAAGGGGCUCACUAAGUUGCCCACUGAUCUCAAGUUUGUGAUCCUCCCAAGUAGCUGGAAUUAUAGGUGUGAACCACCAUGACCAGCUUUGGAGAUUCUUUGUGGAUAUUUACAAGCUAGAUACACUUCAGAAAAUAGCUAUGAGAGCAAAAUAGGUUCUAAAACACAUAAUAGUUUUUAGAAUUGGAUCUGCAAUUCUAAAGAAGAAGAAACACUAUAGAAGUAGAAAAAGAAAUGAAUAAAUAAUACAAUAGAGUACUGAUCUAUACUUGGACCUUGACUCAGGAAUUGAAAGAAUAAAUCUCAUAGACAUUGUAAGACUGUAGAAAAACUGGAUAGGGUCGAGUAAUGUUGUUCUUUUGGGAAAUUAAGACAAAACUAAAGUUAUUCAAGAAAGAGGAAUAUCCGAGUAUCUUAAAGGACUGCAAAAUGUAGUUUCACAGCUUGGAAAGACAAGCCAUGUCUGGGGACCCUUAUCCUUAUUCCAAACCAUGGUUGAGUUCUGAGUGUACUCUGAGAAGAACCUGAAACACAAUUUCUGGCUGGAGAAUCCUGAUGGUUGUCCUGAUAAACUUGGUACCUCUAAAGUCAGAAGCAACCACCGCUGGCCUAGAGGGCCUUGAGCGUAUUGACCUCAUAUUUCUGAUAUAUAGGCUUGUUCUGGGUCACCUUCUAAGCUCUGUCUUUUCCUCUCAAGCUUCCCUUUAUAUAAUCUUGCUUGUGUGUCAUCUGAUUUUUUGAUGCCUGAGGAUUUGCUUCUACCUUUCCAUGACCAAGCAUUGGCCAAAUCACUGUUUCUGUUUACUCAGUUGCAGUUAUCUGCCCCCGCUGGGGACUGUCUUCAGCUUUUGUAGCUGACAGCCUGUUUAAAUACAACCUAUUCUGUGGUCAUGCUGAGCCACAGGAAGCACUGUCUUUUGGAUUUUGCAGAACUCACACACUUAAAUGUACAGGGUCAGUUUUUAUAGCUGUUGCUGCAUCCACAUUGGACAGUGACCUUGGCUGAGACAUCCAUUACCUCUGUUUCAGAUAAAUUUAUCUGGUAUUUAAAAUCUCCAAUGUGCUUCCUCCAACUUGUCCAGAGCAAAGUAAAAUUAAAGACUGCAUCAAGUAAUGGAGAAAAGCCACAUUUUGGGCCUUUGCUGCUUUAUGAAUCUUGGAUGGUUUCAAAGAUGGCAGUAUAAAUGCAGAUGGCACUGCUCUGCAUUUGCCUGGCAUAGCUUUAAAAUAAGCAGUGUAUUUCAAACCUUCAUUGUUGGAAUGGUAUUUCCAAAUACAGACCCCAAAAGCCCUCAGGUGUUUGAUUCUAGGAUCAAGCUGGAGAUUCUUCUAUGCAAAUAUCUCCUGUGGCAUUGGAGUGGACCUUGGCUUCUGGGUCUUUUGCUUCCAACUCUUUCAUUUCUGGACGCUGGUGUGAAUCUACAUCUUGAAAUACAUACCUUAACAAGAAUUUCUGACCUGUAGAAAACUUGUCUUUUGUGGAACAAAAGAAACGUAUGGAAAUAUCAAAGUAUCAGAAGCAGCAGUCACUAGCGAGGUCAUGAACGGAGGUCGGAUAACCUGAAAAAUAAAGUUCCAUGUGCCAAAAGCUAUAUUUGAUUUGUUUGGACUUUAUCCUUCAUUAUUUUCCUCUUUUAUAUUGAUCUUCUGAAAUUAAGUGAUUUUUCACUAUCUGCAUCAUAUUGUGAAAAAUGCGAAGUCCGGAAAUCGGACAGUGUUUCUUACUUGAGUAAUAAAUAGGAAGCAGCAUGGUGUGGAGGAAGGAGCUUGGGUUCCUCCUCUGCCUUGGCUGCUGACCUAGUCUUUGUCAUGGUAUCUCUUUGCAUUUCUCUCUUUAUAUCUGUAAAAUGGGUGGGGGGACUUUCUGGGGCACUUUUCUGGCUCUAAAAUUUAGCAACUCUGUAUUGCUGAUGGUUUCUUCUGUUUGGAGUUUCUAAAUCUGUCACAACUGAGAGGCCAAAGUUUAGGAGGAAUGGAAAGUUAUAGCUCUAUUUGUAAUAAUGUUUAAAACUUUUCAAUGCAAAUGCAGAUAAUUAAUUUAUCAUCAUUUCCUGAACGUUUUAUACUUUAAAAUACUGUAUUAUAAAAUGUAAUCUCAAGAAAACCACAUUUUUAAAUUUUAAAAUAAAUGGUUGUUCCUGCUUA